rnacentral:rRNA from 1 species
GACGAACGCUGGCGGCGUGCCUAAUACAUGCAAGUCGAGCGCAGGAAACUGACGGAACUCUUCGGAGGGAAGGCAGUGGAAUGAGCGGCGGACGGGUGAGUAACACGUAAGGAACCUGCCUCAAGGAUUGGGAUAACUCCGAGAAAUCGGAGCUAAUACCGGAUAGUUCAACGGACCGCAUGGUCCGCUGAUGAAAGGCGCUCCGGCGUCACCUUGAGCUGGCCUUGCGGUGCAUUAGCUAGUUGGUUGGGUAACGGCCCACCAAGGCGACGAUGCAUAGCCGACGUGAGAGGGUGAUCGGCCACACUGGGACUGAGACACGGCCCAGACUCCUACGGGAGGCAGCAGUAGGGAAUCUUCCACAAUGGACGAAAGUCUGAUGGAGCAACGCCGCGUGAGUGAUGAAGGUUUUCGGAUCGUAAAACUCUGUUGUAAGGGAAGAACACGUACGAGAGGGAAUGCUCGUACCUUGACGGUACCUUACGAGAAAGCCACGGCUAACUACGUGCCAGCCGCCGCAGUAUAAC